GACGAACGCUGGCGGCGUGCUUAACACAUGCAAGUCGAACGGAAAGGCCCUGCUUUUGUGGGGUGCUCGAGUGGCGAACGGGUGAGUAACACGUGAGUAACCUGCCCUUGACUUUGGGAUAACUUCAGGAAACUGGGGCUAAUACCGGAUAGGAUCUCCUGCUGCAUGGUGGGGGUUGGAAAGUUUCGGCGGUUGGGGUUGGACUCGCGGCUUAUCCGCUUGUUGGUGGGGUAGUGGCUUACCAAGGCUUUGACGGGUAGGCGGCCUGAGAGGGUGACCGGCCACAUGGGGACUGAGAUACGGCGCAGACUCCUACGGGAGGCAGCAGUGGGGAAUAUUGCACAAUGGGCGGAAGCCUGAUGCAGCAACGCCGCGUGCGGGAUGACGGCCUUCGGGGUGUAAACCGCUUUCGCCUGUGACGAAGCGUGAGUGACGGUAAUGGGUAAAGAAGCACCGGCUAACUACGUG
rnacentral:rRNA from 1 species